GUCUUUGGCCAUGCAACCCUGAACGCGCCCGAUCUCGUCUGAUCUCGGAAGCUAAGCAGGGUCGGGCCUGGUUAGCACUUGGAUAGAAGACCACCUAGGAAUACCAGGUGCUGUAGGUG
rnacentral:rRNA from 1 species